UUUCCGUAGGUGAACCUGCGGAAGGAUCAUUAUCGAGUUUUGAAACAGGUUGUAGCUGGCUCUCUAAUACAGGGCAUGUGCACGCCUGGCUCAUCCACUCUUCAACCUCUGUGCACUUAUUGUAGGUUGGUGAAAGGCUUGUUUUGUUUUGUUUUAUUUAAAAAUGAAAUAAAAAACCAGCCGGAAGCCUUCCUAUGUUUCUAUCACAAACAUUUCAGUUGUAGAAUGUAUCUCUGCGUAUAACGCAUCUAUAAUACAACUUUCAGCAACGGAUCUCUUGGCUCUC
rnacentral:misc_RNA from 1 species